UGCCAGCAGCCGCGGUAACACGGGGGGCGCAAGCGUUAUUCGGAAUUAUUGGGCGUAAAGGGCGUGUAGGCGGUCUUAUCGGUCAGAUGUGAAAGCCCAGGGCUCAACCCUGGACGUGCAUUUGAAACAGUAAGACUUGAGUACUGGAGAGGAAAGCGGAAUUCCUAGUGUAGGGGUGAAAUCCGUAGAUAUUCGGAGGAACACCAGUGGCGAAGGCGGCUUUCUGGACCAAUACUGACGCUGAGAUGCGAAAGCGUGGGGAGCGAACAGGAUUAGAUA
rnacentral:rRNA from 1 species